UCCCGGUUCCCGCAGGGAAUACGGUUCUCCCAAGAAGUCCGCCGCGAAUCGCUUCGCGGCGGACUUUUUUAUGCCCG
rnacentral:misc_RNA from 1 species